rnacentral:rRNA from 1 species
UACGUAGGGUGCAAGCGUUGUCCGGAAUUAUUGGGCGUAAAGAGCUCGUAGGCGGCCUGUUGCGUCCGCUGUGAAAUCCCGGGGCUCAACCCCGGGCCUGCAGUGGAUACGGGCUGGCUAGAGGCAGGCAGGGGGAGAACGGAAUUCCUGGUGGUAGCGGGUGAAAGUGCGGCAGAGUAUCAGGAGGAACACCGGUGGCGAAGGCGGUUCUCUGGGCCUGUACUGACGCUGAGGAGCGAAAGCGUGGGGAGCGAACAGG